rnacentral:rRNA from 1 species
AUGAAUAUGUUCCCUAUGGUAACUGGGUUCAUGAGUUAUGGUCAACAAACAAUACGUGCUACAAGGUACAUAGGUCAAAGUUUCAUAACUACCUUAUCCCACACAAAUCGUUUACCUAUAACGAUUCACUACCCUUAUGAAAAAUCAAUUACACCAGAGCGUUUCCGAGGGCGAAUCCACUUUGAAUUUGAUAAAUGUAUUGCUUGUGAAGUAUGUGUUCGCGUAUGUCCGAUAGAUUUACCCGUUGUUGAUUGGAGAUUUGAAAAGGAUAUUAAAAGAAAACAAUUGCUUAAUUAUAGUAUUGAUUUCGAAAUUUGUAUAUUUUGUGGCAAUUGUGUUGAGUACUGGCCAACAAGCUGUUUAUCAAUGACUGAAGAAUAUGAACUUUCUACCUAUGAUCGUCAUGAAUUGAAUUACAAUCAAAUUGCUUUAAGUCGGUUACCAAUCUCCAUAAUGGGAGAUUACACAAUUCAAACAAUUAGGAAUUCGUCUGAAAGUAAAAUAAACAAAGAAAAAUCUUCGAAUUCAAGAACGAUUACUGAUUACUAA